UGGGGAAUAUUGGACAAUGGGCGAAAGCCUGAUCCAGCCAUGCCGCGUGUGUGAAGAAGGUCUUCGGAUUGUAAAGCACUUUAAGUUGGGAGGAAGGGCAGUAAGCGAAUACCUUGCUGUUUUGACGUUACCGACAGAAUAAGCACCGGCUAACUCUGUGCCAGCAGCCGCGGUAAUACAGAGGGUGCAAGCGUUAAUCGGAAUUACUGGGCGUAAAGCGCGCGUAGGUGGUUCGUUAAGUUGAAUGUGAAAGCCCCGGGCUCAACCUGGGAACUGCAUCCAAAACUGGCGAGCUAGAGUAGGGCAGAGUGUGGUGGAAUUUCCUGUGUAGCGGUGAAAUGCGUAGAUAUAGGAAGGACCACCAGUGGCGAAGGCGACCACCUGGGCUCAUACUGACACUGAGGUGCGAAAGCGUGGGGAGCAAACAGG
rnacentral:rRNA from 1 species